ACGUGCGCAGGCGGUUAUGUAAGACAGAUGUGAAAUACCCCGGGCCGUCAACCUGGGAACUGCAUUUGUGACUGCAUGGCUAGAGUACGGUAGAGGGGGAUGGAAUUCCGCGUGUAGCAGUGAAAUGCGUAGAUAUGCGGAGGAACACCGAUGGCGAAGGCAAUCCCCUGGACCUGUACUGACGCUCAUGCACGAAAGCGUGGGGAGCAAACAGGAUUAGAUACCCUUGU
rnacentral:rRNA from 1 species